rnacentral:lncRNA from 1 species
UAAAUCAAAGCAGCAAAGAUGAAACCAGAUUUAUUCUCUCGGUUCUUUUGUGUUCGAUUCUUAUUGACACAGCAUAUAGCACAGGUGCACGAAGUGUACAAAUCGAGGUAAAAAUAACAGCAAUGGGGUGGGAGGAAGCCCUUAUCGGAGAAAAAUCAAUUUUUUUUUUUAAUUUUUAUAAAAAAUUUUAGGAUCAAUUCAUACCAUACAUAAGAAUUCGUAAUUUAGAAAAUCAUACCUUGAUAAUUUAAUUUGACUUUUUUACUGAAUUAAUUUAGGCUCUCAUAUCACGAUCCGUCACCACCACUCCUAUUAGAUCACGAUAUGUCACCAAUGAUCUUUCAGGUUAUGAUUCAAGUUUGAUUUGCACUUGACGUGUGAGUGCCUUUAUCACCACUAAAAGCAACUAGCAAGAGAAUAUUCCUCUCAAAAUUAGAGAGAAAUUUUUUUUUUCUCUAAUCUGUAUAAUGUGGCUGUCUCUUUUCUUUUUUAAAAAAAAACAAGCACUUUUAUAUCUCUAUUUGGUGGAAAAUAAGACUCCAUAUUUAUAUAUUUUUUAAUUCUAUUAAAUAACAUUUGAUUUAAAUUAAAAAAUAAUAAAACCAAAAGUGGCGUUACUUGUUCUUGAGUUAUAAGGGGCCAACUUAUAAAAUAGCACAAGACUUCUUACAUACAAGCAAAUUAAAUGGAGUCUCCCACUAAAUAAUAUAUUUAGACUUUUAACUCAAAUGACUAGUUAUCUUUCUUAUUAAUCCAGUAGCGGCACAGUCAAUUAAAUGAGCUAACCCGGGGAUUAUUUAGGUAAAUACAAUAGUGGCUAUAAUAAUUAGGCUUGUAAUUAAAUUAGCCUAAUUAUUUAAUUCUAAAUCUACUCCACUAAAAAAUUGGAAUUGACCUCCAUAAUUGUAUGCUAUAUAGGAUAGUGUUUUCGAAUAAUAAUUUGAUCCAUGCCACAUUGAUUUCUUUACUGCAUAAUCUUCUGUACUACAUCGUUAAUUAAAUCGAUAUCUCAACUGUCCAAUCAAUUUAAUUGCAUCUUGUUCCUUGAUACUUAUUGAUUUUCUCUAAUGAUCAUUUUCAACAUACUAAAUAUGUUGACACACUCUGCCCAGAGAAUUAUAUGAUCAAGUGCCGAAAACCCAUCAAGAGAUAUGUUGUACAAAUUCUAUAUUGUUAAUCUAUGCCUCUAAUACUCAUAAUUGCUCCCACAAAGAUACCGGGUAAUAUUGACUAUAAGUGUAUGUUGUGUCCAUUGGUAACUCAAAUUGAAUAACAAUUACAAUCAUAAAAUCAUAACUAACUCAAGAUUAAGAUUACAGUAAAAUCAAUGCAUAUGAGAUUUAAUAAGUCUGACGGUUAUUACAAAGUUAAUUAAAUCUCAUAUGUGAUUUUGUUCAAUGUAAUCGUACUACAUCAAUAAAUUCACACAUGAUCAAAAUAAAUCGUUCAAUGAAUUUAUUACAGUCUAUACCUAAAUAAAGUGUCCAGCUUUAUUUAUCAACUGCGAAAUUAAUUUAUUUAAUCAUAAGAUAACUUAUAUUUAUAUUUUUUGUGAAUCCACAUAGUAAUCACAUAAACACAUAAAAUAUGAUUAAAUGAAUUUUACUCAAAAUAUUAAUGCAAUUAAGAUACUUGAAUAAAAUAUAUCAUUUAUUUUAUUAAUCAAAAAAUUAUUUAUUAUAAUUAAAUAAACACAUAUGCUUUUAAACAUCAUAUUUUCGCAACAGCCCUCAGCUCAGUUGUUGCUUCAAGAGCAUUCGAGAACUACUAAAGAGAGCAUCUUUGAGAACCACACGGUCACGGGAGUGCUUUGUGGGAUCUUAAGAGAGCCCAAGAACCCUUCCAGUUGCAGUGUCGCCAUCAAUCUCAUAAAAGCAUGGCCUUGUUGGGAGACCUAGCAUUGUACUUAUUGUUCCAACCAAAGGAUAAAUGAAUCCAGCCCCAAUGCUAGCUCUUACAUCCCUUAUCGGUAAGAUAAACCCAGUUGGGGCAUUGUGUGAAAAUGAAUGCUGGGUUUUUGCCAUGCAAAAUGGUAAGCCAGAAAACCCUUGCCUGGUGUACAUUUUGAUCUGUUUCUCAGCCUAGUUGCACAGAUUGAAAUAAUUUAAAUUAGUAAACUAAGCCCUAGAAUAGUUAACCAAGUUCCAAAAAUCAACAAGACAGAGUAAAACCCAAACAUUCUGCAGGAGACCAAAAGUUAUCAUAAUGGUCUCAGCAAAAUACACACACACACACACACACACACACGUAUAUAUAUGCGCUUUUUUCUGUAAGAGUUGCUUCCGCAACAAGAUGGUAAGUGCUACCUCUAUUAUUUUUAGGCGUCGGCAAGAAAAUAGAUUUGAAAUGCCACAGUAAAAGACAAAACACGCAUUUUACAACUAGAUUUUGCUUUCACCAACCCAAAGGAACAUUUAAUAUUUGGUUUAACUUUGUGCUUUUUGUCAGAUUUUGAAAGGAUUGAAUUAGUCAGACUGAUGCACUUGACAAUCCAUGGAGAAUUGAUGGAACAAAGUGUGAAGCAUUUACCUCCUCUGAGUACUCAACGCCGCUAGCACCAUAUGACCUUGCUAUUGUAUCUAUUUUCUCUUUAAUACUGACAUCUAAAGGAUAUAAGAACUUCAAUGGCUGUGUAACAUUCUCACAGGCUCUUUGAACUGCAAUUCCAAGGUCCACCUGAAAACCAUGAUAUCAAUAGAGCUUUUAAUCAAAAGACAUCAAUAACCAAUUCUCCCAGUUUAGUCUUAUCAUAAAAUAUGAACACCCUGAAAGGAGCCUAUCUCGGAGUCAUACAAUAGACAGAAAAGGCACAAGUCUUUCAGAUUCAAAAUAUGUGAUUACACUUGGAUUGAAAAUAUCUAUUCCUAGUUUGCUGAGAAAAAAUCAUAAUACAAGUCCUUAGUGGUCGAAGCAAAGGUGGACUGCAGAACAUGAGAAAUUCUCAGAUAUAGGCGGGAUGUGUCAAUAAUUUCCAGAAUCAGAAAGGCGGUGUGUAAAAGUUGUUAAACAAUUCAUCCUGCUCAAAUUGCCUUAGAGAAAUUCUGUGUAGAGACCAAAUAUGGGCAAUGCAGAUUAAUGAUAAUUUAUUUACAGUUAUGUAGUUUGCAGAGGUGAAAAUUGAGAAAUAUUUCCUUUUUGUUUGUUAGGUCUAAUGGUGAUAAGUCACUUACCGCUCCUUUUCCACCAUGGGCAUGGUGAGAACAAACAACUGCAUCAAAGGCCCCAGCAGCCAUUGCUGCAAUUCUAACUGCAUUCAGUUCUGCUUCGCUAUCAGUUGCGAACAUGUUCACAGCAACUACAACAUUCGCACCAUAUGCCUUUGUGUUUGCAAUAUGCCUGGCCAGAUUCACACAGCCAGCUUCAACCAGAGCCACGUUCUCAUUCAAGUAGGCAUGGUCAAGAGGCUUCCCAGCAACAACUUGUGGCCCACCACCAUGCAUUUUCAAGGCCCUUACUGUUGCCACAAUAACAGCACACUGAGGAGUUCAACCACUAUAUCGGCAUUUAAUAUUCAUGAACUUCUCAGCUCCAAUAUCAGCACCAAAACCUGCUUCAGUGACGACAAUUCCACCUGGUCCAACCAAUUUCAGUGCAAUCUUAUCAGCCACAAUAGAAGAAUUACCGUGAGCAAUAUUUGCAAAAGGACCAGCAUGAACAAGAACAGGGGUUCCUUCCAGUGUCUGCAUCAAAGUGGGGUUGAUUGCAUCCUUCAUUAGCACAGUCAAAGCACUAUCAGCUAGAGAAGUUGUCAGGGCCAAAACUGCCAUUAUCUCACUAGCAACUGAAAUGUCAAAGCCUGUUUCUCUCACCAUUCCCUUUUCUUCGGGGCCUUGACCAAUAGUAAUUUUCCUCAAGAAUCGGUCAUUCACAUCCAUAACUCUCCUCCAUGUAAUAGAAGCUGGGUCGAUAUCAAGCCUAGCAAAUCUGUUAAUUUCUUCUGGCGUAAGAUCCUCAGGCUUGGUUUUGGAGAUACCAAGUUUCCUCAGACGCCUAAACAUGAUGUUACUAAAGCUCCGUUCUCCUUCUUUGUUUGGUGGGCAUAACCUGUUAAAUAAAGCCUUAUCAGAUUGGCUCGCCUCAUGGAAUAUCCUGGUGUCAAUGGCAGCAGCAAGAAGAUUGUUUGCAGCUGUAAUUGCAUGAAUAUCUCCUGUUAAAUGAAGAUUGAACUCAUCCAUUGGGAUCACUUGACUGUAACCGCCACCGGCUGCACCUCCUCUGAUUCCAAAGGUUGGUCCUUGUAAGGGUUGACGAAGACAUGUAACAACCUAACAAAUAAAGUUGGUAAGGAUAACGCCUAAACAAAUACUCAGUCAAAGUAAUUCAAAGCAACUAGUCACAUUCCAAUUUCUGCACUGUGAUAAUCACUCUAAAUAUUCCAAUCUUCUAUGUUGAAGGAGGAAACAACCACAAAAACAGCUUCAUCCGCUAUUAAAAUUACCCAGAACCAUGAUAGUCACUUAUUCCCUUUUUUCCUUUUAUUUUUGAGCUGAAAAGCUAGUUUUCAGACAAAACAGACAAAGAUAAUUUUUGAGAUAGAAAAAGAAAGUUCAAAGUAAAUAUACUUGUUUGGAUUUAUAAGAUUUAGAUGGACAAAAAAGCUACGGUCAUUACUAACAGGCAGUCUCUGUCUUAACUGUUGAAGAUUAAUAAUCAUUAAUACCCUAUUUUAAGGAACUUGACAAGCAGCUCAUUCAUGUAACUCCUUUAAAGCUGAAUCGUGUGCUAAACUUGUUGAGCACUAUCUAGUCUAAAAAUUAGGGUCUUGUGUCUUUUUAUGGAAGGCCUUAUAGUAAUAAAAGUGAACAGUUUCUUCCACCAAAUCUGGUCUAUUUUCAUGAAAUCCAGUUAGAUGAUCAAGUAUGUUAAUGUCUGAAAUUUACAAAAUGGUUAUUCAGAUUUGUACUUAGGGAAGAAGAACAAAAUUUGUUCAGUUAGUUUACUCUACUAUCAACAGCAGGGCAUAAUGAACACCGACAGUCAUGUGCUGUUACAACAAUAAAAGGACCCAUGAACAUACUCAUUGAAGCACAUGAAUUUGUCUGUUCAAUUCCCCUCAUAAAAGGGACAGCUGAUAACACAGAUUGAAUUGGCAGAACACAUACAUACGAAGUGAUCUCACCAUCUUUGGCGAAAUAGUGAACAACCCACAAAAAUUUGUUCAAUAAAAAAAGUUGCUAGCAGAACAUCAGGAUUGCAAGGUGCUUUGGGCAAGAGAGAGAUAAAGAGAGCUAGCUUCAGAAAGAGUUACAACUGCCUCCCCUGACCCAUUCAACUUGAAUAAUCUUUUACUUUUGAAUUUUCCAAAUCAAAAACUUCUUUUUCGCAACACAACUUUCUUAACUCCUCUGAUAUUGGUCGUCAUCAGACAUAACACACAGAACUCCCAGACCAAUUGAAAUCACAAUUUACCCCAUUUUUCACCUUUCUGCAGAAGAAAUUUACGGUCUUACGGCAUUACCAAAUACAUGUUAAACUAGAAAUGCAAGACAUCUAGUAGAGGGAUGCUGUGAUUAGAAUACAAUGGAAGAGAUUAGGAAUCUUCAAACAUCAUUAGAGAAAACAGUUUCUUAUGGAAUGAAUAAGUAGAUGCUCCAUGAGCAUACAGAUUUAGUUUUUAUUUAACACAGAAUAACAGUUAUAUAACAAAACCUUUCCAACUGCAAAGUACAUUGUUUGGAACAGAUAUAGAAUUACAACUAAGUGUGAGAACUGGAACUUCAAUAUUACACUAGACUAAAUGGAUUGGCAAAUAGAGAAACAACCUCAAUGCCUUAAAAUUGUAACUAUUGAAAGCUCUACCUUUUUAUCAAGAAAAGCACCCAAUGCUUGACACAGCCCAACAGUUGUAGUAGACUUUCCCUCUCCAAGAGGAUAUUGAGUAAUCUCUCCCUCUCCAAGAGGAGUUCGAGUAAUCUCUCCAACCACCACAUAAUACCCAUCUGCAGAUCCUUCAAGCUCAUCAAGAACAGAUAGCAACACCUACAAAAAUCCACAACAUCCAUUCAACUUUACGCACCCAUAUUUGUUAUGUUAACAAAACUAAGCACCUUAAGUUUGAAAGAAAAAAUAAAAAUAAAAAUGAACAUGGCAGUUUUUGAAUCAUACCCUCAUCACAACAAACCAAUCAAAACACAAAAAUCAUGUCUUUAACCAUUAAGCUGAAUCGACCAACUGAUAUAAGUUACUCAAAUAAGGAAAAAUAAUAAUAAAUUUAUGAAUAAAAAGCUAAAAAGCAAUCACCUUGGCUUUGUACUUGCCAUAAAGAUCAUAAUGGUUUGGCUUGAGGUUGAGUUCUUGGGCAAUCUCAGAAAUAUGAAGCGGCUCCACUGAGUUUGCAAUGUCUAUAUCUGCUGGUACUGGUGAUGCCACCUGUAAUUUUCUCACUGUUUUUGAUGAAGCCAUUAAUUUUUUUCUUAUAAUAAAUCAAUUUUAGUUUUGGUUGAGUCUGUAGAAUGUGUGUACUACGUUGAAGCCUUUAUUAGCAUAACUCUUGCAUCUGAAUUGGAGUCUGACGGCUAGGAAAGGGGUAAUAGCACUUAGGUCCGUAUCUUUUAUGGUUUCUCACCUAAUUACAUUGUUAUUCUAUUUGUAUAAAAUAAAACCCUAAUUUCGAUCGACAACGGAGUACCCUUUGGUAUUUAGGUGCACGUUUAAUAUGAUUUCUCUAAAAUAUAUUUUCCUUAGUUUAACAUUUUACUUUACUUUUCUAUUAAGGUAUUUAUAAUUUUUUUUUAAGUUAAAAAUUAACGUAAAUUUUUAUUACUAAAACGUUACUUAUAGAAGCUCUUAUUUAGAAACUACCAAAUAAAAUUCUAAGUUACAUACUCUUAAUUUUUAGCGUUACAUUAUAUUAGUAAAAAAAUUACUAUAGUGAAAUUAUUUGAUCGUUUUAUUACGAGAUGUGUUUUAAUAUGUAUAUAAGUAUCCACUAAUUUAGUUGAUCAAAUUAUUUAAGAUGAUGAUGUAAUGAAUAUAGGAUUCAAUUCGAACCACAUGCUGAUUGUUAGUUAUGCAAUUCUCAUGGAGAGAGUAGGGUUCUGGACCUAUAUGAUAUAAGUGAACAAACGCUCUUCCUUUAUUCGUAAAUAUUUAAAAACUGAAUGAGUUGGAUGUUAUUAGCUCCAAUGAGGAAAGCGUUAGCGGCAUAGAGCCGCGCCAUUUUUUUCCCGCCUCAUCCAACAAGAGAGGCGAUAAUAUUAUGCUCCGCCUCAUCCAACAGUAUGUGUCGGCUGUGAUUUUUAAUUAAAAAAAAAAAAAAAAGAAUCUGAUGUUGACUUCGACGGCGAGUAGAUAAUGCCAUUAUGCCACCAGUCAUGUGGCGGCCGGGCACCUCCGGCUGCAAUGGCCGUGGGUACUAAGCAUGAUGUGGCACGCGCAGUAAAAUAAAAGGGUUAUUUUUAGAAACCUCCUAUGAGGUUUGAUAUAAUUUUAAUUAGAUGGCGAUAUUAAUUGUAUUCUCAUUUAUUUUCUCUACCGUUAGUAUACAUACACGUAUAACAUUAGUAUUUGAUGGCAAAAAUAUAAAAGACAGGCUGAAAAUCUAAAAAAAUCAAGUAACAAUAAAAAAAUACUUUAAAAUCUAUUGGAUAAUUGUAUUAUUCGAUUACACACAAUAUUCAUUGGGUAAAAAAGUGAAUUUCCCUUUCUUAAGUACAAAAAAGCUAUUGAGAUUUUUUUUUCUCUCACAUUAACAAUCAAAGCAUUUUUCACUCCACUCUCAUAUUCUCAAUUGCUGGAACAAAAGAAAAUAAACAUAAAGAGCAUAUAUAACCCAUAAAGAAGACAAAUAUAGGUGGUCGGACAAGGUCACCGACCGGUGACGAUCGACGACGGCCGAGAUAUGCCACUGGUAUUUGAAUUUGUAAGAGGUUAGUUAUUUUAUUAAAGUCUAAAAUUUUUAAAUAUCUUUGAUUUUUUUUAUUUUUGGAGAUUUUAUAAGUAGUUGUUGGUUAUGUUUGAUUUGUCUUGUUCAUAGGUUGGUGGUGAAAAAAUUGAUUAAAAGGAAAAUGGAUUCAGUCAUAUGUGGUCAUGAGUUGAAAACAAUUGUUAUUGAUUAUUUUAUGUUUGUGAUUUACACCAUACAUAGUGUAAUAAGGCAUAUAAAGCCAAUAAUUUGUUAUUCUUAUGCAAAUGGGUAUGUAAAAUAGAAAUAAUCUUAGUUGUAAUUUUUAUUUUUCUGGCCAAAGUUUGCUAAAGUUGAUUUGUUAAUGAAUUUGCAGUGUUUUUGUACGCCUCUCGCACAAACACAAUUCCUGCAUUUUUGAGCGACAAGGCAUGUUCCCCGUGCUACAGACUCACGUCACACGAACACAGUUUUUGUGUUUUUGGGGUUGUCGCCCGUACGACGGGUUUAUGUCACCCAAAUUCAAUUUCUGUAUUUUUUAGCGACAGAAUCUUGUCACAUGGACGACAACCCCUAUCGCCCAAAAACACUAUUUUUGUGUUUUGGGCUGCGACAUACUCUUGUUGCAUGCACACACAUCUUGUGUUUUUGGGAGACAUGUUAUGUCUCCCGUGCGACAGUAUUUUGUCGCCUGUGCAACAGGCAUGUCACAAGAAAAACACAGUUUGUGCUUAAUAUUAAUUCAAAAUAAAAAUAGUAAACACACACACACACUCAGAUAUAUAUGUAAUUAAAACAUAUAUAUACAUUAUUAUUAUUGUUAUUAUUAUUAUUAUUAUUAUUAUUAUUAUUACAAUUAUUAUUAAUAUCUUUAUUAAAAUGUAUUACUAUUAUCAUUAUUUUUUUUAUUAUUGCAAUUGUUGUUGUUGUUUAGUAAUGUCAUUAUUAUUAUUAUUAUUCUUAAUUAUUACUUUGUUUUCACUUAUUAAUGUGUGCAUAUUCACAUAUGAUAUGGGGCAAAAGGCCAGUUGAAUCGUCUGCUGUUCCACUGGAACUUGCAGUAGAAAAUGACUGGUUUGACUUAGCAGACGAGAAUGAGUUUGCUCUCCAUGAUUUGAAUGAUAAGGUUCACAUUAAGCAGGUGAUGACAAUAAAAUAAUCUCUUGAGAGGAUUCCAGCAAAUUAAGAUGUCGUAUCAUCUUUUUGUACUCAGUCAUAGGCACAAGAUUGAGUUUUUGUAUAUUUUGUAUAAAUGUGAUUCUAACAAACUCACAUUAUAGUGACAAUGUCAUGUAUAAAGUAUACCUCAACUAUCAUUACACAUUGUUAGUGUAGUUGUUAUUUUUGUUCUUUUUGUGUAUAUGGGCGACUGUUGAAUGUAUAGGCUGAUGAAAUUCAGUCAAUUUGUGAUUGUCACCAACUGUAAGCUAUGGAAAUGCACAUGUGACUGUAAUUUAAAUUAUGGUAUCAUUCUACUUAGUGUUAUUUUCCAAUUCAAUUAACUCAUACUAAUAUUUUUUUUUCCUCUCGGUACAAAUUUAAAUGUUUGUUAUUUGUUAUUUGCGUUGCUGGUUUGGUGACAUGCAACUUGAUGGUUUGGAAGUUACUUAUUUAUUUAAAUAAGUAAAAUAUUGGUGGUGAUGGAAUCCCUUAAUGUAUUUUGGAUAUUAAUAUAGUCUGUUGCUGAGUUUUUAGUGGUUUUUUAUUUCAAGCGUUAGUUAAUCAAGCUUUAUGUAAUUUAGGUAAACAUCCACUGUCUCCCAAGAGACAAGCAUUCGAAAUUACAGAAACAAGCUUUUUGUAAUUUGGGGAGACAUGCACCUGUUGCCCGGGAGAUAGUGUCCGUCGCUCUAAAUCACAUGCACCUAUCGCGAUAGGCCCUAUCGCGCGCGCGAUUCUGCAGAAAUACAAAAUACGCUAUUAAACUAAUUGUUGCAAACUUUUCGUGCUAAAUAAUGAGCUUACAAAACAAGACUUCGCAUGAAUGCACCAUCAACACCUUAAUCUACCUAAAACAAGACAAACAAACCCUAAGAGGCAUUUUGUCGAUCACCUCAUGUGCCAUUUAGUAACUACCGAUUUCAUUAAACCAUUUUUAAAAUUUACGCACUAAUCAAUCCUAAUGAUCAUCUAUAAUAAUUUAUACACUCAUUUGUCAUCAAUCAAUUUAGGCAAACGAAAAACAAAAAAAUUUACAAUAUAAGGCUUGCCAAAAUUACCGAAAACUAACGUGAUAUAUUGCGGCCAAAAUGGUGGAAGUAGAGCCACGUGCUGCCAAAGAUCAACUUGUUGUCAAACGCACGUCCAACCACCGUCUCUUGUCGUUGGAAAACUCAAGACCUAGGUUGAAUUUGGAGAGAAGAGAAGGUAUAUGUUUGGCAAGCUAUUUUUGUCGUACUCUUACUUUGUUGGCACCAAAUUUUGGGUUGAAUAAUUGGUUUGGAUAUUUCAGUCAUUUCUCAAGUCAACUAAUGGUCAAGUCGUAUGUAUACUAACAGUAGGGGAGGUAAGUGAGAAUACAAUCAAUCUUGCCAUUUAACUCAAAUUAUAUCAAACCUCAGGGGAGGUUUCUCAAAAUAGCCCUAAAAUAAAACACUUAAGGGUGCAUUUGGUAUCAAAUUUUAAAUGGUGUUUUUGAAUUUGUUUUAUGAAAUAAGAAUGAUUAUUUUUUGUUAAAAAUAAAAACAUGUUUGGUAGCUUAUUUUAAUAACAGUACUUGACAAUAAAAAAAAAAAGGUGAAAAGGUGUUUAGUUACUUGUCUGAAAAAAUGAAGACAAAGAUAGAGAGAGAGUAGAGAAUUAUUUAAUGAAACUAUUAUGAAAAAAAUAAUAUAAUACAAUGAAUAUAAAUAUAUAUUUUAUAUCAUUAAAUAAUUUAGCUAUUUAGCUAUUAUAUUAUGAUGUAUUAUAUAUUAUUAUAAAUGCAUAUAGGUACGAAGAUAUUUUAAUAAUUUCUUAAAUAAAUUAAUUAUGUAAAUAAAUUGUAGUUAUAAGAUAAUAUUAAUUGAGAAAAUCUUAAAUUAUUUCAUAAUUAUCAUAUAUUUAUUUAUAUUAGCUGUCAAGAUGUAACUUUAUUAUUGAUAUAUUUUCAUUAAUAUAUGAAAGUCUUUAAUAAUUUUUAAAUAACUGAAUAUUGGUCGAACAAUGUAAUAAUUUAGUAUAAUAAUUAUAUGAUAUUACUUUUUAUUUAAACAAUUUGGGUAAUAUAUUAAGUAAUUAAACUGCAAAGUAUGGAAUAAACUCUUGCUAUUAUUUUUAAAUAUUUGUUAUAAUAGUUUAUUUAUUAGAUUAUUUCUUUAUUAAAUGGGCCCACGUAAUUUAUUACACCAUGUUAUAAAAGUUAAGAUAAUGGGGCCCUCGGCAGUUGGCAGAGAGUAAAAGUGAAAUAAAAUAGAGAACGCUAUUAUAGCGUUCUCUUGUUUUCUUUGUAAACAUUGGAAAAUGAAAUUUUUUUGUUUUUAAUCACUGUACAGUUUUCUACCAAAAUGAGCUCACCAAACAAGUUUUCUGCAUUUUCCUUUUCAUAAAACGAAAAACAACAAAUUGAAAAUGGUACUAAACGCACCCUAAAUGUUUUAAAAUAGAGUUGGAUUAUUGGCGCACCUCUAAUAUUUUUUUCAAACCCCCUUUCUGCAUAUUUUUUUUAAUUCCUAAAACAACCUUCAUUUGUUGUACUUUCUUAAUAAACCCCAUGUUAGUAGUUUAAAAAAAGAGAAAUUAUCAUUGCAUCACCUUUCUUUUGUCUUAUAUUCAUUUGACCACCAUAAAAUUUUAACAUAUUUUUUUCACUGCCUUUCAUUUUAAAUUUGUAUCAAUUAGUCAUUUUUGCACUUACAUCGUUAAAUAAUGUAAACAAAAUGACAAUUUUAUCUCUAAGUAAAUCCCAAAAUUUUAAUAAUUUAGGGGAUUUCUAUUAAAUCCCAAAAUUUUGUAAUUUUUUUUAUAAUUAUAAUUUUUUAUUUAAAUACUUUUGUUAAAAAUAAAAAUUCUAAUUUUGGAAUUUAUUUUUUUAUUAAAUUUAGGGGUAAAAUUGUCAUUUUAUUUAAGUUAUUUAACGGUGUUAGUUCAAAAGUAGCUAAUUGAUAUAAAUUUAAAAAGAAAUGUGGUGCAAAGAACAUGUUAAAAUUUUGUGGUGGUUAGAUGAACAUAAGGCAAAAGAAAUGUGGUACAAUAAUAAUUUACCUUGAAAAAAAAAUUAUGUUAGGCGCUCUCUCUCUCUCUCUCCUCUCUCCCAUUUCAAACCACUUGCAAUUUCUUCUUUAUUAUAGCAUUCAUGAAUUUUUAAUUUUUGUUUCCAUUUCUCUUUAUUUUCUUAGCAGUUAAUAACUUGAGUUUACAUAUAAGGACGAAUAAUGCAUAUAUGAAAGAAAAAUUUGGUCCAAGUAAACAAACUUUACAAAAUUAUCUUUUCUACAAAAAACUUAGUUUAUAUUUAGUCAAAUUCUUAUUCCACGACAAUUCAAUAUUUUUUCAAAUUUUGUAGAUUUUAAUGAGUGUUUGGGGAAAAUACGUCGACGAGACCAGGCAUGAUGAGCAGAUAUCUGGUGGCAGAGUUCUGCGAACCGGUGUGUCCCGUAAGAGCCUGGUAUCCGGGGGAGCAGGAGCAGGAAUAUCCUGCUCAUCCACGAGCACGUCAUUCGCGAGGCCAAUUUCUUGUAAGAAGCAUAAAGUCAUUUAUGCUGUAUUCCUGCUAAGUGUUGAUUUGAGGAGACCCGGUCAAUGACGGUUGGCGAGGCAUGCUCUCCAAUCCAAGAAUCUAGGCACGAAGGCCACGCAACCACCCACAACUACGGAAAUGGGGAGUCCACGUUCGAGAGGUAGGAGGAUAACGAGUGCGAAUGAAGGGGAGGCCCGAGCUCAGAAGUAGCCUAUAAAAAGAUAGCCAACGAAGGUAAAAGGGUUGGCAAUUUUGAGAUUAUAACAGAGAUUAAGGAAAUUCUAAAGAAGAGAAAACUACCAAAAAGCCAUAAGAUCUGUGGCAAGCGUUCCCAGAGCCUUCAUAUCUGACUUGAGCGUCGGAGGGUUUACGCCGGGAAAACAACCGGCGUGUUCUGACUUGUUUCUGUGGACGCAGGAAUACUUGGAGAAGAAAGCAUACGAGGUGAGGUUGAUCGAGCAGAUAUCCUGGUCGUAGGAAGAGCGUAACCAGAAUCUCGCAUCAACAAUGAGUUUAUUAUAGAUAAAAAGGCAAAGAAAACGUAGGUAGAUUAAAUUAGAUAAAUUUUAUUUUUAAUAUAAUUUAAAAUAUAAAGGAUAAAUUUGUAAAUUCAAAACAAGAGGGGUUUCAAAAGAGAGAUAGAUUAUGGAGAGAUGACAAUAGCGUAACUCUUUAAAAUAUUAGAUAAAUUUGGAGAUGCGGGGUAUCGAUCACGUACCCCUCGCAUGCUAAGCGAGCGCUCUACCAUCUGAGAUACAUCCCCGUUUGUAUGGCAAAUUGAUCAGAUGAAAGCAAGGGAAGAAUUAUCAAGCGGCAAUUCUCAUCAAACCCCUAAUUUGGCCUAAAUGCAUGUGUAGCAUGAAAAUGAAAUUUGGUGGUAUUUUGUAGAAUAAAUGUAACAAUUGUGAAUUUGGUUUGGAAAGAUUCCCAACAUUUAAAUUUAUUGCCUUAAAAUAUGGGACAAAACUGUGGUGCAACUGUUGUACGGUACCGUAAUUUUGCUUUUAUCUUUGAUUCCCUACUUUCUUUUUUAUUCAUAGUUUAUUUAUAAAUUUAUCAUAAUUUUUUUUUCUCUUUUCCUCUUCUUUAUAUUCAGAUAUUCCAUUCCCUUUUUCCCCACUUAGAUAAUUAAUCAAUCAUUAGUCAGUAACUCCUUUCAAAUUAAAAUAUCAUUAACUAAUCAAUUAUCUCAAUUAUUUUUCACAUCACAACUAAGGCAAAAUGCAGCAAUUUGAUUUGAAUAUUUGGAUGACAAUUGUGAGGUCAUGGUAAUUGAAUAAAUUAAAAUAACAAAUCAAAUCUAUUAGCUAUAAGUCAUUGAUGACAUAUUGGUUUAAAUCUAAAGUUUAAGUUUUUGUUGUUUGUGAAUAACUAAUCACUUUGAAAUGAAAUUGUAUUGUAGUUAUUUUGAUUUAAAGUGUAAUCUGCAUAUAUUUUAAAGUGGUGACUAAAGUGUAAGGAAAGAAGAUAAAACAUAAAGUUUUUAUAAUUAUUUAUUUAAUAUUUUAUUUUAGUAAUGUCAUGCUAGUUUUAUUUUUAAGCUAAUUUAUUAAUUGAAUUUUAAUGUGAAAUCAUUACUUAUCUCACUCCUUAAAUUAAAAAAAAAAAAGAGUUAGAUAUUGAUAUUUAUUUUUAUGUCAAUUUUUUUAAUUCAAGACAGCCUACCCAUUUUUUAAUUGUUUAAAUUAUUUAAAAAUUUAAUACAAUAUGAAUUUAUGUGUCAAAAUUUUGCAACAUUUAUUUUGUUUAGAAUUUCAGUAUACGACAGGGAGUGUAGCGUUAAUUACCAAACUAUAGCAUUCCACCGUUGAAUCUACUCUUACAUUAAAUUUAACAAGGAAAAACACAAGAAGACAAAGUAGGGGAUACCGUGCAACAGUUGCACGUUACCUAGACCCUAAAAUAUGAAGGGAGCCUCUAAGUUACAAUAAUUGUACCAUACAUCUUUCAUGUGAACCACACAAAAUUAUAAGACCCACAAUUUGUGUGGUUUACAUGAGAGAUGUAUGUUACAAUUAUUGUAACUUAGCAUUUGCCAAAUAUGAAUAGCCAACUAUCUCGUUCCCUCUUUUUUUUUUUUUUUGGGCAUUUUAGAUUAAUACAAAACGAAUUAAAUGGAUGAGGGGGUUUGAACUUUGAACUCAACCUUUAAUGUGCGAGCUUACCAAGACAAGCUCUCCAUGUUACAUUUGCAAGUCAAUCCUUGCCCAGGAUGGCAAACCGCCCGCGCAUGGCCCGCCCGGUAGCAUUUAAACUUUGAUAUCUCAAAUAUGUAACAUUUCUAAGUAUUGGUUAUACGAAGAAUAAAAAAAAGUUGUACCUCAAACUUGUGUGAUAUGGUAACACAAAACCGGCACACUGAUCAUGGAAUAAAAAUUCAAAAACAACCUAACAAAAGGCAAUUUCGGAUGGGUAUCAAAUCAGUUGGGAUAUGCACAUCAUAGGUAAAUCAAAGCAGCAAGAUGAAACCAGAUUUAUUCUCCCGGUUCUUUUGUGUUCGGUUCUUAUUAACACAGCAUAUAGCACAGGUGCACAAAGUGUACAAAUCGAGGUUAGAAUAACAGCAAUGGGGUGGGAGGGAGCCCUCAGCUCAGUUGUUGCUUCAAGAGCAUUCGAGAACUGCUAAAGAGAGCAUCUUUGAGAACCACACG